ensembl:snRNA U6 U6 spliceosomal RNA
GUGCUUGCUUUGGUAACACAUACACUUCAACUGGAAUGAUACAGAAAAUAUGAGCAUGGCUUCUGUGCAAAGAUGGCACAUACACCUUAAUGGAGUAGUAAGUAUUU